GCUGGAUGUAGUGGCAUACACCUGCCACCCCAACUACACUAGGCUGAGGCAGAAGGAUCACAAGUUCAAGGCCAGACUAGGCAAUUUAGCCAGAGUCUGUCUCAAAAUAAAAAUAGAAAAGGAGUAGGGAUGGAGCUCCAUGGUAGAGUGUCCCACAGUUCCACUCCCAGUUCUACACCAAACAAACACCUCCCAAACCUGAGGGGGUGCCAAUGGCAUCCCAAAGGGCAGAGGCCAGGGUGCUGCUGAUCCCCCACAUUGCCCAGGACAGCACCAGAGGGUUCCAGACAUGCAGCAGAGCUGAGGCAGAGCCCUUGGCUGACAUCACAGAAGCACCAUGUAUGGAAUCACUCUGUGCCCAAAUCUCGCCCUUUGCCAAGGCCCCGGCACCAAGCCAAGACCCCUCCACAACCCAGGCUUGGAAAUCCAUCUCCAGUGGCUGCAAAACUCCCCAGGGGCCGAAGCCAAGGGGGUGAAGUCAUACCUUGUCCUGCCCAAAUGUCACCUCCUUCAGGUUCCUUGCACAGUCCCCACCUGGUCUGAUGCUCCCAUGGCCUUGUCCAGCUGUGGGCUGUUUUUAAGCCCUCAGCCAGAGGGGCAGCCUCAGUCCUUCCUCUGCACCUGUGGACACCCUGGGGCAGGCCGGCUGGCACUGGCACCAUGGGCAGGAAGGAGGGCAACCCCAGAGUGUGAGGGGGACUGGGAACACCUCACUGUCACCAUCUUCAAGCUGUAAGAUUUUCAUGCCAGUCUUGGCAUAGCCCAGGCACCAAGAUGCCAGCCCAGCAGAGAGCCACUUGGGAAAUGUGGGCCACUGCAGAAGCCAGGCCAAGGAUCCCGGGUGGUGAUGGGCACCAUCCUUCCCAUCAGUCUGGAAGCCAGUUGGAGCUGUGUCACAAAGCCCUAGGCAACCAGGUGAGAAGAGGAGGCAGGUGUGCCCUGCCUGCCAGCCCACCCACCUCCCCAGGUGGGGACACUCAGAAGCCCCGAAUCACCCUGGAUGAGAGAUGCUAAGCAGUGUCAGAAAGGCCCACACCCUGGAGAUGGCCUUCUCCCCACUCAGGUCUGAUGGUGA
rnacentral:lncRNA from 1 species